CUUUGAUCAAAUUCUCUACCUCUGCCUCUAAAACUUUUCUGAUUCAAUCUAUCACCUCCAAACUUUCUUUGUCUCGCCUGCUUAAGAUCACAAUCCUUUUGUGACCGAUACAACAUACUUUUCCCUCUUUCUUUAUAUCCAAAACAACGUGCUGUAUCUUUCUCAUGAAUCUUCCCAAGAAAUUCAGUUCAAAGAGGGCCAGUCACAGACCAACAGUUUGACCAAAAGUGAACAAGGAGGAAGCAUAUUCCAUAUGAAGGUCGAGAUGACCUAACUCACACCCCCUCUUUGUGUACACCUAUUUGUGUACCACACAGAUAUAAUAUUAAUAAGCUUUUGAAGAUUUAUUGUGUUUGUAUAGCACGGUUGUCUAGGGGUGUAUACAUAAACAGUGAAAGCAGAGUCUUCAUAUAGGGUUUGCAAUACUGACAGUCUGUGUCAUAGGUGUAAUACAGACAUGCGGUUAGGAACUUUUCCAUUGUCAGAACACUAAUAUAUUGCAAAUAUUAAAAUCAUAUUGCAUAUUGCUGUUUCCUAUACCUGCAAGGAUAUGGUUGUAAU